rnacentral:rRNA from 1 species
GUGGGUAGUUUGACUGGGGCGGUCUCCUCCUAAAGAGUAACGGAGGAGCACGAAGGUUGGCUAAUCCUGGUCGGACAUCAGGAGGUUAGUGCAAUGGCAUAAGCCAGCUUGACUGCGAGCGUGACGGCGCGAGCAGGUGCGAAAGCAGGUCAUAGUGAUCCGGUGGUUCUGAAUGGAAGGGCCAUCGCUCAACGGAUAAAAGGUACUCCGGGGAUAACAGGCUGAUACCGCCCAAGAGUUCAUAUCGACGGCGGUGUUUGGCACCUCGAUGUCGGCUCAUCACAUCCUGGGGCUGAAGUAGGUCCCAAGGGUAUGGCUGUUCGCCAUUUAAAGUGGUACGCGAGCUGGGUUUAGAACGUCGUGAGACAGUUCGGUCCCUAUCUGCCGUGGGCGCUGGAG